UACGUAGGGGGCAAGCGUUGUCCGGAUUUAUUGGGCGUAAAGAGCGUAUAGGCGGUUUGGUAGGUCCGCUGUGAAAACUCGAGGCUCAACCUCGAGACGCCGGUGGAAACCAUCAGGCUAGAGUCCGGAAGAGGAGAGUGGAAUUCCUGGUGUAGCGGUGAAAUGCGCAGAUAUCAGGAAGAACACCCGUGGCUAAGGCGGCUCUCUAGUACGGUACUGACGCUGAGACGCGAAAGCGUGGGGAGCGAACAGG
rnacentral:rRNA from 1 species